AACGAACGCUGGCGGCAUGCCUAACACAUGCAAGUCGAACGAGACCUUCGGGUCUAGUGGCGCACGGGUGCGUAACGCGUGGGAACCUGCCCUUAGGUUCGGAAUAACUCCCCGAAAGGGGUGCUAAUACCGGAUAAUGUCUUCGGACCAAAGAUUUAUCGCCUUUGGAUGGGCCCGCGUUGGAUUAGCUAGUUGGUAGGGUAAAAGCCUACCAAGGCGAGGAUCCAUAGCUGGUCUGAGAGGAUGAUAAGCCACACUGGGACUGAGACACGGCCCAGACUCCUACGGGAGGCAGCAGUGGGGAAUAUUGGACAAGGGGCGAAAGCCUGAUCCAGCAAUGCCGCGUGAGUGAUGAAGGCCUUAGGGUUGUAAAGCUCUUUUACCCGGGAUGAUAAUGACAGUACCGGGAGAAUAAGCGCCGGCUAACUCCGUG
rnacentral:rRNA from 1 species